rnacentral:lncRNA from 1 species
UUCGGCCAUGCAUCCUAUUGGGCUGUUUUGGGCCGAAUUUAACAUGUGAUAUUCCUAAAACUUAAAAAUUAACUUAAACAACUAAAAUGUUUACAAAUUGGGCCCUUUGACAUUUUGGCCUGAUUUUCAACUAAAUAUGUAUGGAUUUCUUGAUUGGGCUAGGAAUUUGCUUAUUGGGCCUCGCCUUUAAGAAUUUGGGCUUGUGAUCCAUCUCCUACCGAAAUUGGGUCGUUGACGCUCGUAAUGGAGAUCCAACGCGCUUUGGCUGCAAGAUUCGGUUUCUUGGACCAAGAUUUCCAAGAUUUGAAAUCUUGAUUUUCUUGAUUCUUGAAAUCGCUCCGAAUAGCAAAAUUGGGCCAAGAUUCGAUUUCUUGAUUUUCUUGAAAACAAGAAAGUGAAUCUUGAUUUUCUUGAUUUGAGCCCAUCACCUUCUUAAGCUUGGGUUGGGCCUUUGUG